UCGUCCUCCGUACAUUCGUCUUCAUCCUCUGAAAUGUUAAUAAAGAUACUUAGAUCAUCUCAAUUUUUUUAUAAUAAUAAUAGUGUAUAUUACAAUAUAUUUAAUGUGACAUCAUCUAUUAGAAAACAAAUGGCAAAAACCCUGGAAAGAAUGUAAAGGGUCAAAAAUCAAGAGCAAAAAACCACCAUAAAGGAUCAGUGGUAGUGGAAUACAUAACUGAUGCUGAGAAAAGGGCACAGACUACGUAUAAUAGGAAGCCUACAAUUCUUAAAAAGAUUCAAGAGUUGUCUACUAUGACAAAAGAAGAAUUUAGUCUAGACUGGAAGACUGAAUCAGGUGUCUGUGGCAAUUGGAAAAGUAAGGGAUGUUCAAUAGGGAAUACUAGUACACCGCAUACACCAGUCGAAACAGCGGCAGUGGCACUUGAGGAGUUGCAGCCUUCAUCCUCUUUGGUAUACCCAGACCCGCCAGAAGUACCAGAAGAGGAAGCUAUUCACGAAGGGGAAAAAACAAAAUGUGACAUUUGUCACAGAAUGUCCGCUUCUAAUAAAAAAAAAGACCUGUGGCUCAAUUGCGAGUACAGGAAGAAAUGUGAUUUUUGGGUCCAUACGCUGUGUGUUGGUAUUGUUGCUAAGACUGAAAGUGAUUUGGAAGACAUCAAAUUUUUCUGCCCUACACACAUUAAAUCGUACAUGAAAUAAAUUUCUAAUAUUAUGAUAAAAUAAAAUAAUUUUGUACUGGUUUAAUCAUUUUACCU